rnacentral:rRNA from 1 species
GAUUAACGCUAGCGGCAGGCAUAAUACAUGCAAGUUGAACGGCAGCACAGGUAGCAAUACUGGGUGGCGAGUGGCGCACGGGUGCGUAACACGUAUGCAACCUACCCUAUACAGGCGAAUAACCUUUAGAAAUGAGGGCUAAUACGCCGUAGUAUUACAGAUGGGCAUCUAUUUGUAAUUAAAGAUUUAUCGGUAUAGGAUGGGCAUGCGUCCCAUUAGUUAGUUGGUAAGGUAACGGCUUACCAAGACGAUGAUGGGUAGGGGAUCUGAGAGGACUUACCCCCACACUGGUACUGGGACACGGACCAGACUCCUACGGGAGGCAGCAGUAAGGAAUAUUGGGCAAUGGCCGCGAGGCUGACCCAGCCAUGCCGCGUGCAGGAAGACGGCCUUAUGGGUUGUAAACUGCUUUUAUACGGGAAUAAUAGAGUGUACGCGUACAUUUAUGCAAGUAUCGUAUGAAUAAGCAUCGGCUAACUCCGUG